UGGUGUGGGCUGUAAUUAGGUCAGUGUAAGUUAAAGUAGGGCUGAGAGAUGAAUAAAGUAGAUUUUCUCCUCUGGAACACUCUGCAGUUUAAUUUCACUUCUUUCUACAAUGUGCGAUGAAGGUGGACUUAACUUUUAAAGGCAAAGAGACAAACCACUGCCAGGAUAAAUGAAAAGACGUAGAGGGGGCGGCUGGCACCAUACAGAAGAGGAAAUGCUUUCUGGCUGGUUCCUAAUUUUCAUAUCCGGGUCAUCGUCAGAAAUCAUUUUCAGAGCAGCCAGAAACACGUUAAUCUGAGGGAAAGCUCCACACACCCACAGAGACUUCCCCUUCCUGCUGAGUGAGCCAAGGAGGAGGAAGUGGUCCUGAAGGUGAAAGUUGAAACCUUCUGUUCUGCAGUCUAGGUGUUUCUGGUCACAUCUAUUAUCAAGCUGAUCAGAAACAAACUGAUUGCAAGGAUCAUAGCAUUCCUCUAUGAUUCAAUGUCACUUGAUGAAUGAUGCAAGUAAUGGUUUUAAGAUUUGGAGAAAAUUAUAAUAUCAGCCAAAGAUAACCUAGCAUGCACAACACCUUCCAGCACUAUGGCAACUAGACCAUAGGGGUGAGGCUUCCAGGAAAGAUUAAGAUUCUCUUAGUGAUCUUGAAAGAACAAUUCUCAACUUUAUAUGGAGAAACAAAAGACCCAGGAUACCCAAAACAACCCUGUACAAUAGAGGAACUUUUGGAGGCAUCUCCAUCCCUGACU